rnacentral:rRNA from 1 species
UACGAAGGGGGCUAGCGUUGCUCGGAAUUACUGGGCGUAAAGCGCACGUAGGCGGUCUUUUAAGUCGGGGGUGAAAUCUUGGAGCUCAACUCCAGAACUGCCUUCGAUACUGGAAGACUUGAGUCCGGGAGAGGUGAGUGGAACUGCGAGUGUAGAGGUGAAAUUCGUAGAUAUUCGCAAGAACACCAGUGGCGAAGGCGGCUCACUGGCCCGGUACUGACGCUGAGGUGCGAAAGCGUGGGGAGCAAACGGG